rnacentral:rRNA from 1 species
UGCGUAGGCGGCCCUAUAAGUCAGUGGUGAAAUCCUUCGGCUCAACCGGAGAACUGCCAUCGAAACUGUAGGGCUUGAGUACAGACGAGGUAGGCGGAAUUUAUGGUGUAGCGGUGAAAUGCAUAGAUACCAUAAAGAACACCUAUAGCGAAGGCAGCUUACUAGACUGUAACUGACGCUGAGGCACGAAAGCGUGGGGAGCGAACA